rnacentral:lncRNA from 1 species
GGUCACCUAACAUAAUAGACAAAUUAUACAGAGGACAAAAUAGAAAUCACUGUCAUAUCAGGACCCCAGAUUAACAGCCCAAAUGAGGAAAAAAUUGAGCAACUCAUGUCUGCUGGGAGCCAUUAGCCAAGUAGGUAUGACAAUUUCCUUGCCAGCGUACCCCAUGUUGCUGACAUGUUGCAGUGACAUUGAAUGUAAGUGACCUUGCUCAAGGACCAAGGCAGAUUAGGGUGUUCCCGGUUUUAAGAUAAUCGUGUUUAGGGCGUUCCCAGUUUAGGUUCCAGGUUUAAGGUUUAAGAUUAUUCCUGCUGGGAAUAGGGCGUAUCCUGCUGCCUGAGUUCCCCUUGAGUUCUCACGGGAUUUAGACAAUAUAUUUUGGAGAUAGAAGCCCAGUGGAGGUGGAUUUGGGCAGAGAACGUGGAUUUGGGCAGAGAACGUGGAUUUCCCCAGAACGUGAUUGUAGACGGCUGGUGUGAGUUCGGGAAUAAAGAGUUGCUGUUUGAAUCUACAAGCUGUGUGGUGGCUCGUGAUUGUGUGCCCAGCCAGACUGUGGCAUUUGUGCCCAGCCAGACUGUAGCACAUGUCAACACCAAGAUGAGCCAGAUGUCAGCCUUCUGUGAAAGAAAUUAGGAGCAACCACCAUAAAAUAUGCAUCCAACAAUUAGGAACGGCUGUGAAAGAAGAAAAUAUGAAAUUUGUGAGGUACCAGAAGUAGCAGGAAAGAACCAGUGGGAAUCCUGGAACUAAGAAAGAUGGUCAUAAAGAAACCUGGGUAAGCUCAGCAGUGGAGUGGAGAGAGGACAAAAAAGAGAGAAUAUGCAAUUGGAAUAACAGAGAAAAAGUCUUACAAGAAACCCAUAUUGAAUUCCAUAGCCUCAGUAGGUUGAAAGUAAACUUAUGGAAAAAAAUACCAUCUAUCAUUAUAAAAUAGAAGAGGAGGAGGCUGGGCAGAGGAGGAGGAGGAGAAGGAGGAGAAACAGAAGCAGCAACUAGAGGACUACAUUAGUAUCUGGUAAACAUCAAAUCAAAGAAAAUUUCCAGAGAGAAAGAACAAUGUUACAUGAUGAUAAAAGGCUCAAUCUUCAGGAAGAUGUAAUGAUACUUCUUAUGUAUGCACCAAGCAUCAGCACCUUAGAACGCAUGAAACAAGAACUGGUGGUGCUGAAAAGGAGACAUAAGAUCCACACAGAAGUGCGGGCAUCAAUGAACUCUCCCAGCUACUGACUGAGCAACUAGACAGAAAAUCAAAAGGGACAUGGAAGAUGUAAACAACACAACUGGCCAACAGGAUCCAGUUGAUACCCCAACAAGAGCAGGAUGCUCGCUUUUUUCAAGUACCCAUGACAUUCCCCGAGGGAGACCACAUCCUGGACCAUAAAACAAAGCUCAACACAUUUAAAGAAAGGAACUCAUACACAAUGUAUUUUCCCACUCUCAAGAAACCAAAGGAGAAUUCAUCAACAGAAGACAACAGGAAAUCUCCAACUAUAUAUACAAGUAUAUAUAUAUAUAUAUAUAUUAUAUACUUGUAAAAAAAAAUCCAUGUGUAAAAGAGGUCUAGAGGAAGUAAAUGAAAAUCAUAGCACUGAAUAAGAAGAAAACACAGCUAUUAUCAAAUUUAGUGCUAAGAGGAAGCUUUAUUCUAUUCUUAUCAAAUUUAGUGCUAAGAGGAAGCUAGAUACUUUGCAUCUAGUAUAAAUGCUUAUACUAGAUGCAAAUAAUGUUCUCAACGACCUAAACUCCUCCCUGACCAUACCAGAAAAUCAAGACAGAAAUUCACCUAAAAAGGAAAUGGAGGGGGGGAGACAAAACUAUGAGCAGAAAGCAAUAAAAUUGAAGGCAAGAAACAAAUGACCCCCUCCCCCCAAAAAAUCAGUGAAACAAAAUUUGCAGUGUUUGUAUAGCCUUAGCUAGAACAAGAUCCAGAAAAAUCAGUUCCUUCUGCUUUAGGAUUGCUGGAAACUUUUCAUGGGUUCAAAGUUUUUGCAUAGUGCCAAACCAAUUAUGGCAGAUAAAAAGUCAACUUAAAAUUAUUCAUAAUUAAAACUCUCAUUAAUGGCAGUUUCUACAUUUGAUAUGCCACAGAUUUUAUAAUCUGUUUAAUAUUAGAAGAUUUUAGGCAUCACCAUUUGGGAAUUAUGCAAAUGUUGAAAUGGAAAUAAAACACUGUAUUCCUAGCAACAACAAAAAACCCCAGUUGAGAAUAUUAAUUGCUUUUAAUUAUAAGAAAAGUAGCUGGGUCACAUAUGAGAUUCGGCAAGUUUUUUUAAGUUCUCUGGAGGAAUUUUCUCAUAUUUGAGUUCUGUAGAAAGUUACAUCCACUGUAUUUGGUUUCUCUGUGGAAAAUCAGAAGAGCCUGUCACACUCCAGGGCUGGCCAAGCCACAGGGAGGCCAGGGCUGGAGAACACCCUGAGACUUGACUGUAUCCUUUUUUUCCCCAUACUUUUUUAAAAAAUUGGUGCAUUAUAGUUCUAUGUAAUGGUUGGAUUUAUUACAUAGUCACACACGCACACCAUAGAGCAAUAUAAUUUGGCCAGUAUAACCCCCAGUAUUCCCCGUUCCCUUCCCUCUCCACUCCCUUUGGUCCCUUUCCUCCAUUGAUCUCUUUUUUCAUGAGAUUCCCCCACCCCAACACCUUUCUUUUAAUUUUCCUCUUUAGCUUCCACAUAUGGGGGAAAAAUAUUUGACUCUUGACCUUCUGAGUUUGGCUUAUUUUGCUUGACACAAUGUUCUCAAGUUUCAUCCAUUUCCCAGCAAAUGGCAUAAUUCCAUUCUUUAUGGCUGAAUAAAACUUUAUCAUUACACACACACACACACCAUAUUUGACCACCAUAUCUGAUUCUGAUGUUAUGACCUUGGAAAUGUUAGUCACAUAAAAAAAUGGAAAGAAAGGUAGGUGUGAUAAGAUCAUAUUAUGCACACGUACAAACAUGUAACAACAUCCCACUAUCAUGUGUAAUUAUGAUGCACCCAAAAUAGGAAAGUAAAACAGAAGAAGAUCAAGGCUUGGACUUGAGACCCUGAGGCAGUGUUCUCAAUGUAGUUUGUGUGUGGUGUGAGGUAGGGAUCUAUGUGAAUUUUAUUUUCCCACAUAAAGGACAACUAUUUCUUAAACAGAUAUUCUUUCUCUUAUUUGUACUGUCAACCCUAUCAUCUACCAAGUACUUGUAUGUGCUUAACUUAUUUUCUUGGCACACCAGUUUACUUUGUUGAUCUAAUUUACUAGGUUUGCUGUUGGCUUAGCCCGGUUGACUCCUCUUGGCUCCAAGCAAACUUUGCUUUCAACUGACAUUUACUGCACACUGGAACCUGUUGAGCAUUUUGCAGUGUAUCCAGCAUGAGGCCGUGUCAUGUAGUUGGUUUGAAGAGUGGGCUCUGUUACUCUGCCACUUAUUAACCAAGGGUAUUGGGAAGUGAGUGUCCUAAUAGAGCCCACUCCUCAGUCCUCUGUUCAGAUCAAGUUAGAGAAAGGAUAUCAAAAAUCUAAGCCUAAUAUAUCCAAGCCUAUUGCUUGUCAUAUAAAAACUGUUUCAUGAGUGAUAGUUAAUAUUAUUUAUAUUACCCAUAAUACUGAACAUUAUAGUACCUAGCAUGUGACAGUUUUAUUAUGAUUACAACAGUUAAUAUAAGUAAAAUAUCUAUUACAAAUCAAU